UAGGGAAUAUUAGAAAUGGACGAAAGUCUGACGGAGCAACGCCGCGUGAGUGAUGAAGGUCUUCGGAUCGUAAAGCUCUGUUGUUAGGGAAGAACAAGUACCGUUCGAAUAGGGCGGUACCUUGACGGUACCUAACCAGAAAGCCACGGCUAACUACGUGCCAGCAGCCGCGGUAAUACGUAGGUGGCAAGCGUUGUCCGGAAUUAUUGGGCGUAAAGGGCUCGCAGGCGGUUUCUUAAGUCUGAUGUGAAAGCCCCCGGCUCAACCGGGGAGGGUCAUUGGAAACUGGGGAACUUGAAUGCAGAAGAGGAGAGUGGAAUUCCACGUGUAGCGGUGAAAUGCGUAGAGAUGUGGAGGAACACCAGUGGCGAAGGCGACUCUCUGGUCUGUAACUGACGCUGAGACGCGAAAGCGUGGGGAGCAAACA
rnacentral:rRNA from 1 species